AUACGGAGGAUCCGAGCGUUAUCCGGAUUUAUUGGGUUUAAAGGGUGCGUAGGCGGCCUUUUAAGUCAGCGGUGAAAGUCUGUGGCUCAACCAUAGAAUUGCCGUUGAAACUGGGAGGCUUGAGUAUGUUUGAGGCAGGCGGAAUGCGUGGUGUAGGGGUGAAAUGCUUAGAUAUCACGCAGAACCCCGAUUGCGAAGGCAGCCUGCCAAGCCAUGACUGACGCUGAUGCACGAAAGCGUGGGGAUCAAACAGGAUUAGAUACCCUGGUAGUCCACGCAGUAAACGAUGAUCACUAGCUGUUUGCGAUACAGUGUAAGCGGCACAGCGAAAGCGUUAAGUGAUCCACCUGGGGAGUACGCCGGCAACGGUGAAACUCAAAGGAAUUGACGGGG
rnacentral:rRNA from 1 species